AGAAGCUGUUUUCAGAGAUUCAGAGGCAGGCAGAUGACCACAGCAAGAAGAACAGACAGAAAUCCAUAAGGAUAAUUCGUCUAAGCUAAUUAUAGUUAAAGCAUUACUGACUUAUAAAAACUCAGGAUUAUGCUCUCAAAAGCAAUUACAUUUAUAUUAUUUUUAUUUAAAAUAUAUAUUACAUGUAAUAUAAACUAUACACACAAUAUAUUGAACUAUAUGGAAAAUUGAAACUGUGAAAUCCCGUACUGGGCUGCACCUCUUUUAUUGACUACUAUUUUCUUACCACAUUUGGUGACACAGCAUACGUGCUCCCAAUCACAUUCAAUGAUUCUUAAUCAGUUCUCCUACCACUCUCCUCCACACACUGACAUAUGCAUCAAUUAUUCAUGGCUAUUAUCCUUUAUUGGCAAAACCUGAUUCAGACAAGAAGCAGCACAUAGUUUCUUCUAUGUGGAAAAAAUAAACUAUUUUUUUAAUAUCAAUAA
rnacentral:lncRNA from 1 species